CCUUCGAUAGCUCAGUUGGUAGAGCGGUGGACUGUAGAAGCAGAAGAAGUCAGAUAUUCAGUAAUCCAUAGGUCGCUGGUUCAAAUCCGGCUCGAAGGA
rnacentral:tRNA from 2 species